AGCGAACGCUGGCGGCAGGCCUAACACAUGCCAGUCGAACGGUGAAGGCGGAGCUUGCUCUGCUGGAUCAGUGGCGAACGGGUGAGUAACACGUGAGCAAUCUGCCCCUGACUCUGGGAUAAGCGCUGGAAACGGCGUCUAAUACUGGAUACGAGCUGCGAAGGCAUCUUCAGCAGCUGGAAAGAACUUCGGUCAGGGAUGAGCUCGCGGCCUAUCAGCUUGUUGGUGAGGUAACGGCUCACCAAGGCGUCGACGGGUAGCCGGCCUGAGAGGGUGACCGGCCACACUGGGACUGAGACACGGCCCAGACUCCUACGGGAGGCAGCAGUGGGGAAUAUUGCACAAUGGGCGAAAGCCUGAUGCAGCAACGCCGCGUGAGGGACGACGGCCUUCGGGUUGUAAACCUCUUUUAGCAGGGAAGAAGCGAAAGUGACGGUACCUGCAGAAAAAGCGCCGGCUAACUACGUG
rnacentral:rRNA from 1 species